UACGUAGGGAGCAAGCGUUGUCCGGAAUCAUUGGGCGUAAAGCGCGCGUAGGUGGCCUCAUAAGUCCGCUGUGAAAGUCAAAGGCUCAACCUUUGAAAGCCGGUGGAUACUGUGGGGCUAGAGUACGGAAGAGGCGAGUGGAAUUCCUGGUGUAGCGGUGGAAUGCGCAGAUAUCAGGAGGAACACCAAUAGCGAAGGCAGCUCGCUGGGACGUUUACUGACACUGAGGCGCGAAAGCGUGGGGAGCGAACAGG
rnacentral:rRNA from 1 species